GUUUGACCUCGGAUCAGGUAGGGAUACCCGCUGAACUUAAGCAUAUCAAUAAGCGGAGGAAAAGAAACCAACAGGGAUUGCCUCAGUAACGGCGAGUGGAA
rnacentral:rRNA from 1 species